CGCCCAUUUUAAUUGGCCGAAGGACGUGUGGCUAAUAGUAAUAUGGCGGGUGGACAAACUGACCAAACAGUAUAUUUCGAGGUAUUGGAGAUUGCAGUAGAUUUUAGCAAUACAAUCCAGUGAUAGUGCAGUCUAUUUGCUUUAAAAGGAAAUCUGAAUUCGUACAAAGACCUACAACAAAAUCCAGGGGAUGUCAGCUGUUUCGUAACCUUGCUGUUUCGUACUUAGUUCAUUCGUACCUCACAUGAGCCGUUUCGUACUUCACUUCGUACCUCAAAUUGAUUCAUACCUUUUCCUAUGUUGUUGAAAUCAGUUAAAAGAAAUUGAAAUAAAGGUGAAACGAUUUGAUCAAAUCCAACGGCUACGCUAAAUUUAUAUUACACAGCCUGCCCAA